rfam:Xiphophorus maculatus strain JP 163 A Contig227.34, whole genome shotgun sequence.
UCCUCGUUAGUACAAUGGUGAGUCUCCCCGCCUGUCACGCAGGAGACAGGGGUUCGAUUCCCCGACGGGGAG